rnacentral:rRNA from 1 species
GACGAACGCUGGCGGCGUGCUUAACACAUGCAAGUCGAACGAAGUGGCGAACGUGUGCGUAACGCGUAAUCAACCUGCCCUUCAGAGGGGGACAACAGUUGGAAACGACUGCUAAUACUCCAGACUGCUGGACGCGACUGCGUCUGAUUAGCUAGUUGGAGGGGUAACGCGCCACUAAGGCGAGGAUCAGUAGUCGGUCUGAGAGGGUGACCUGCCACAAUGGGACUGAGACACGGCCCAGACUCCUUCGGGAGGCAGCAGUGGGGAAUCUUCCGCAAUGGACGAAAGGCUGACGGAGCAACGCCGCGUGGGUGAUGACGGCCUUCGGGUUGUAAAGCUCUGUUAAUCGGGACGCGGUACCGGAAUAGAAAGCCACGGCUAACUACGUGCCAGCAGCCGCGGUAAUAC